rnacentral:tRNA from 1 species
AGUUAAUGAACUUGUUAAGUAUAUAUUUUGAAAAUAUAAUAAAGAGGCCUUCUCUAUUAACUU